rnacentral:rRNA from 1 species
AACGAACGCUGGCGGCAGGCUUAACACAUGCAAGUCGAGCGCCCCGCAAGGGGAGCGGCAGACGGGUGAGUAACGCGUGGGAACGUACCCUUUGCUACGGAAUAGCUCCGGGAAACUGGAAUUAAUACCGUAUGUGCCCUACGGGGGAAAGAUUUAUCGGCAAAGGAUCGGCCCGCGUUGGAUUAGCUAGUUGGUGGGGUAAUGGCCUACCAAGGCGACGCUCCAUAGCUGGUCUGAGAGGAUGAUCAGCCACAUUGGGACUGAGACACGGCCCAAACUCCUACGGGAGGCAGCGGUGGGGAAUAUUGGACAAUGGGCGCAAGCCUGAUCCAGCCAUGCCGCGUGAGUGAUGAAGGCCUUAGGGUUGUAAAGCUCUUUCACCGGAGAAGAUAAUGACGGUAUCCGGAGAAGAAGCCCCGGCUAACUUCGUGCCAGCCGCCGCAGUAAAAC